AAGAACACGUACCAUACAAUCCCACUUAUGUGAGGUCCCUAGAGUAGUCACUUUCAUAGAGAUAGUAGCUGACAGGAGGAGCAUGGGGAGUGACUGUUUAAUGAAUACAGACUUGAAAUUUGGGAAGAGGUAAAAGUUCUGGAGAUGGAUGGUGGUGAUGGGUGGUGAUGAUGGACAUUGGAGAUGGGCAAUGGACAUGGAUGGUGGUGAUGGAUGGUAUAAAUGGAUAUUGGAUGUGGACAGCGGACGUGGACAGUGGAGAUAGAGGGUGGUGAUGGCUGGUGGACAUGGACAGUGAAGAUAGAGAGUAGUGAUGGAUGGUGGAGAUAGAGGGCGGUGAUGGACAGUGGAGAUAGAGGGUGGUGAUGGACAGUGGAGAUAGAGGGUGGUGAUGGACAGUGGACAUGGACAGUGGAGAUAGAGGGUGGUGAUGGACAGUGGAGAUAGAGGGUGGUGAUGGACAGUGGACAUGGAUAGUGGAGACAGAGGGUAGUGAUGGACAGUGGAGAUAGAGGGUGGUGAUGGACAGUGGACAUGGACAGUGGAGAUAAAGGGUGGUGAUGGACAGUGGAGAUAGAGGGUGGUGAUGGACAGUGGAGAUAGAGGGUGGUGAUGGACAGUGGAGAUAGAGGGUGGUGAUGAACAGUGGAGAUAGAGGGUAGUGAUGGACAGUGGACAUGGACAGUGGAGAUAGAGGGUGGUGAUGGAUGGUGGACAUGGACAGUGGAGAUAGAGGGUGGUGAUAGACGGUGGACAUGGACAGUGGACAUGGACGGUGGGGACAGAGGGUGGUGAUGGACGGUGGACACAGACGGUGGAGAUAGAGGGUGGUGAUGGACGGUGGACACGGACAGUGGAGAUAGAGGGUGGUGAUGGACAGUGGAGAUAGAGGGUGGUGAUGGUCAGUGGAGAUAGAGGGUGGUGAUGGACGGUGGAGAUAGAGGGUGGUGAUGGACAGUGGACAUGGACAGUGGAGACAGAGGGGGUGAUGGACAAUGGACAUGGACAGUGGAGAUACAGGGUGGUGAUGGACGGUGGACAUGGACAGUGGAGACCGGGGGUGAUGAACAGUGGACAUGGACAGUGGAGACAGAGGGUGGUGAUGGACCCUGGAGAUAGAGGGUGGUGAUGGACAGUGGAGAUAGAGGGUGGUGAUGGGCGGUGGACAUGGACAGUGGAGAUAGAGGGUGGUGAUGGACAGUGGACAUGGACAGUGGAGAUAGAGGGUAGUGAUAGACGGUGGACAUGGAUAGUGGAGAUAGAGGGUGGUGAUGGACGGUGGACAUGGACAGUGGAGAUAGAGGGUGGUGAUGGACGGUGGACAUGGACAGUGGAGAUAGAGGGUGGUGAUGGAUGGUGGACAUGGACAGUGGAGACAGAGGGUGGUGAUGGACGGUGGAGAUAGAGGGUAGUGAUGGACGGUGGACAUGGACAGUGGAGACGGAGGGUAGUGAUGGAUGGUGGACAUGGACAGUGGAGACAGAGGGUAGUGACGGACGGUGGACAUGGACAGUGGAGACAGAGGGUAGUGAUGGAUGGUGGACAUGGGCAGUGGAGGUGGAGGGUAGUGAUGGACGGUGGACGUGGACAGUGGAGAUGGAGGGUAGUGAUGUACAGUGGACAUGGACAGUGGAGAUAGAGAGUGGUGAUGGACAGUGGAGAUAGAAGGUGGUGAUGGACAGUGGAGAUAGAAGGUGGUGAUGGACAGUGGACAUGGACGCUGGAGAUAGAGGGUGGUGAUGGACAGUGGAGAUAGAGGGUGGUGAUGGAUGGUGGACAUGGACAGUGGAGAUAGAGGGUGGUGAUGGAUGGUGGACAUGGAUAGUGGAGUUGAAGGGUGGAGAUGGAGGGUGGUGAUGGAUGGCGGUGAUGGAGGGUGGAGAUGGAGGGUGGUGAUGGAGGGUGGAGGGUAGUGAUGGACAGUGGAGAUGGAGGGUGGAGAUGGUGGGUGGUGAAGGAGGUUGGUGAUGGAGGGUGGUGAUGGGGGCGGAAAUGGAGGGUGGAGAUGCAGGGUGGAAAUGGAGGGUGGUGAUGGACAGCGGAGAUGAAUGGUAGUGAUGGAUGGUGGAGAUGGAGCAUGGAAAUGGUGGGUGGUGAUGGAGGAUGGAGAUGGAGGGUGGUGAUGGAGAGUGGUGAUGGAUGGUGGAGAUGAAUGGUGGUGAUGGACGAUGGAGAUGGAGGAUGGAGAUGGAGGGUGGAUGAAGGGUGGAGAUGGAAGAUAGUGAUGGAGGGUGGUGAUGGAUGGUGGUGAUGGAGGAUGGAGAUGGAGGGUGGAUGGAGGGUGGAGAUGGUGAGUGGUGAUGGAGGGUGGAGAUAAAUGGUGGUAAUGGACAGUGGAGAUGGACAGUCGAAAUGGAGAGUGGUGAUGGAUGGUAGUGAUGGAUGGUGGAGAUGGACAGCGGAGAUGAAUGGUGGUGAUGGAUGGUGGAGAUGGAGCGUGGAAAUGGUGGGUGGUGAUGGAGGAUGGAGAUGGAGGGUGGAGAUGGAGGGUGGUGAUGGAGGGUGGAGAUGAAUGGUGGUGAUGGAUGGUGGAGAUGGAGGAUGGAGAUGGAGGGUGGAUGAAGGGUGGAGAUGGAAGGUGGUGAUGGAGGGUGGUGAUGGAUGGUGGAGAUGAAUGGUGGCGAUGGACGGUGGAGAUGGAGGAUGGAGAUGGAAGGUGGUGAUGGAGGGUGGAGAUGCAGGGUGGAAAUGGAGGGUGGUGAUGGAUAGUGGAGAUGAAUGGUGGCGAUGGACGGUGGAAAUGGAAGAUGGAGAUGGAGGGUGGAUGGAGGGUGGAGAUGGUGAGUGGUGAUACAGGGUGGAGAUAAAUGGUGGUAAUGGACAGUGGAAAUGGAGGGUGGUGAUGGACGGUGGUGAUGGAUGGUGGAGAUGGAGCGUGGAAAUGGUGGGUGGUGAUGGAGGGUGGAGAUGGAGGGUGGUGAUGGAGGGUGGUGAUGGAGAGUGGUGAUGGAUGGUGGAGAUGGAGAUGGAGGGUGGACGAAGGGUGGAGAUGGAAGGUGGUGAUGGAGGGUGGUGAUAG
rnacentral:lncRNA from 10 species